rnacentral:rRNA from 1 species
CCUACGGGACGCAGCAGUGAGGAAUAUUGGUCAAUGGGCGGAAGCCUGAACCAGCCAAGUCGCGUGAGGGAAGAAGGCCCUGCGGGUCGCAGACCUCUUUGGACGGGGAGCAAGGCCGCCGACGUGUCGGCGGAAGGAGAGUACCCGUAGAACAAGCAUCGGCUGACUCCGUGCCAGCAGCCGCGGUAAUACGGAGGAUGCGAGCGUUAUCCGGAUUUAUUGGGUUUAAAGGGUGCGUAGGCGGACAGUCAAGUCAGCGGUAAAAAUGCGGUGCUCAACGCCGUACAGCCGUUGAAACUGGCAGU